rnacentral:rRNA from 1 species
UACGGGGGGAGCAAGCGUUGUUCGGAUUUACUGGGCGUAAAGGGCGCGUAGGCUGUGCUGUAAGUCAGGCGUGAAAGGCCCGGGCUCAACCUGGGAAUGGCGCUUGAUACUGCGGCGCUGGAAGGUGGGAGAGGAUGGCGGAAUUCCCAGUGUAGAGGUGAAAUUCGUAGAUAUUGGGAAGAACACCGGUGGCGAAGGCGGCCAUCUGGCCCACAUUUGACGCUGAGGCGCGAAAGCGUGGGGAGCAAACAGG